UAACGCGUGAGAAUCUGGCUUCAGGUUCGGGACAACCACUGGAAACGGUGGCUAAUACCGGAUAUGCAGAAAUGUGAAAGUUUAAAUGCCUGAAAAUGAGCUCGCGUCUGAUUAGCUAGUAGGCAGUGUAAUGGACUACCUAGGCGACGAUCAGUAGCUGGUCUGAGAGGAUGAUCAGCCACACUGGGACUGAGACACGGCCCAGACUCCUACGGGAGGCAGCAGUGGGGAAUUUUCCGCAAUGGGCGAAAGCCUGACGGAGCAAUACCGCGUGAGGGAGGAAGGCUCUUGGGUUGUAAACCUCUUUUCUCAAGGAAGAACAAAAUGACGGUACUUGAGGAAUAAGCAUCGGCUAACUCCGUGCCAGCAGCCGCGGUAAUACGGAGGAUGCAAGCGUUAUCCGGAAUGAUUGGGCGUAAAGCGUCCGCAGGUGGCUUUGUAAGUCUGCUGUUAAAGAGUGAGGCUCAACCUCAUAAAAGCAGUGGAAACUACAUAGCUUGAGUACGUUCGGGGCAGAGGGAAUUCCUGGUGUAGCGGUGAAAUGCGUAGAGAUCAGGAAGAACACCGGUGGCGAAAGCGCUCUGCUAGGCCGUAACUGACACUGAGGGACGAAAGCUAGGGGAGCGAAUGGG
rnacentral:rRNA from 1 species